UACGUAGGGGGCAAGCGUUGUCCGGAUUUAUUGGGCGUAAAGAGCGUGUAGGCGGUCCGGUAAGUCCGUUGUGAAAGUCAAGGGCUCAACCCUUGAAUGCCGGCGGAUACUGUCGGGCUAGAGUCCGGAAGAGGCGAGUGGAAUUCCCGGUGUAGCGGUGAAAUGCGCAGAUAUCGGGAGGAACACCUAUGGCGAAGGCAGCUCGCUGGGACGGCACUGACGCUGAGACGCGAAAGCGUGGGGAGCAAACAGG
rnacentral:rRNA from 1 species